UUCCAGCUUCACAUCCUUGCCAACACCUAUUACCUGACUUUUUUAUUAUAGGCAUCCUAGUGGGUAUAAAGCGAUAUGUCAUGGAAACCAUUACUGACUUGACUUUGAUUUUCCUCUGUGCAGUUCCUCUGCUAUAGACACACAAUCACUAAGUAGUAGUAUUGUUUGGUAAUAACUAGAAUUAUUACAAUUACUGACAUCAAUAAGGAAAAGUAGGAGAAACGUAUACCUAUGUGAACAGGAUGGUACCCAGGGAAACUUAACCCCCCUUUUCCUGAGGGUUAAAGCCGAGCUGAGGAGAGAGAUUCCCUCCCCAAAGCCAACCCGAGCGAUUGGGGAACACAGAUGCAAAGUCCUCCCGCACUCCUAGAGAGACCCUCGCAGCGCAGCCCAGUCCCGGAAGGCGGAUGUUGGCGCGCUUCCGGCUUCUGUGACCACACAAACAAACGCACAGCCUGGGUUUGGGGGAGCCGAGUGCUUGGGACCAAUAUUCCCAGUCACCUCCCUUUUGUAUCCCAGCGACCCCAGAGUGCUCCGGGGUUCACGGGGAGACGUGGGUCCGACGGGGAGGACAGAAGUGGCUAUGUACGGCCAUGUCGCGCGAUCCGACCCCCCACCCCACGAGCGCCCUGUGGAGGAGGUCCACGGCCCUAUCCCGCAUCCCAGCCGCAGCUGUGGGAAGCGCCGCCAUCUCCCCAGCCCUGGAGCUAAGCAGAAAUUGUCGUUUCCGGUCUAGGAGGAGCCGUUUCUGGGGCCGGGAAGAGGCAGCCUCGUCCUGGGUGUUCACCCCAAGGGGUGGAGUGCAGAAAGGACCCUGGUUUAACGUUUGUGCUCCCCACGGAAGCAUUCCAUGUGCUGUCCUUCUGGCGCAAGGAAAGAUGCAGUAUGGCAAGUUUCUGGAAAUCAGCUGUUUAAAAUGGAAGAGGCUGCCUUAGAAGGCAACGAACUCCCCAUCAUUGAAAGGAUUUCAUGCAAAAACUGGAUAGUCCGUUGCCAGGAAAUGCUUUCUCCAGUUCAACAGUUAUUAAGCCUUGUUACACGCACAUGCUUACAAAUUGAAUGGGGAUUCUUCCACUGGGUUUGAUGCUCCCAUGAGACCCAUUAUAAUUCUAAGAUUCUAUAAUUGUAUUAUUUUAUCAUAUAUUUGACCAAAACUGUUAUUCACACAGAUGAGAACAAGUUUCACCACUCUGUAAUGUUUGAUGUUUAUAAGACAGUAUAGUUUAGUGCUUAAGAGCUUAGCUUUUGGAGGAAACGUGAUCUGGGUUCAAAUGCUAUUGUACACAGAGGGCCGUGUGAUUUUGGGCGAAUGAAUGAACUAUUCUGAACCUCAGUUUUUCCCAACUGUAAAAUGAGUGCUAAUAAGUGAAACCACCUCAUAAUGUUGUGAAGAUUGAGAUGAUCUGCAUAAAGCAUUUAGCAUGUUUAAAACAUGAUAAAUGCUCAAUAAAUGUUAACACCAAGCUUUA